rnacentral:rRNA from 1 species
CUGGGUGGAUGAGUGGCGAACGGGUGAGUAACACGUGAGUAACCUGCCCUUUACUUCGGGAUAAGCUUGGGAAACUGGGUCUAAUACCGGAUAUUCUGCGUGAUCGUAUGGUUGUGUAGGAAAGAUUUUUUGGUAAGGGAUGGGCUCGCGGCCUAUCAGUUUGUUGGUGGGGUGAUGGCCUACCAAGACGACGACGGGUAGCCGGCCUGAGAGGGCGACCGGCCACACUGGGACUGAGACACGGCCCAGACUCCUACGGGAGGCAGCAGCA